rnacentral:rRNA from 1 species
GGAUAAUGGGUUUAUAGGUUGAGUAUGAUUAGUUUAAGAAUUAUUAAUGUUAUUGUAAAUUUUGAGAUAUAAUUACUUAUAUUAUAGUUUAUUUUACUGUAAGGGGUUAAUAUAAAGGGGAUUUAAUAGAAAGAAUAAAUAAUUAAAUAGUAAGAAGUUAAUAAUAUUGUUGUUCCUUGUGUAUCAGGAUUAAUUAAAAGUUUUGAUUUAAUUUAAAAUCCCGAUUUUUAAAGAGUUAAUAAGGUAUUAUAUUUAUGUAUAAUAAUAAUUAGAAAUAUUUAUUGGUAGUGAAAUGUUAUUCGAGUUUUAAGGUUUCUGGUUGUUUAAUAUAGAAUUUAAUUCUUUUUAUGAAUUAUUUAUUAUUUUUGUUAAAUGUGUUGUAAUAAUAGAUUUUGGGGGAUAAGCUUCGGAAUUAUUAAUUAAAUUUAUUAAUAAGUGAUAAAAUAAGGAAAGAUAAGAAUUAUAUGGAUUUAAUAGUGAUAAUUGUUGAUGAUUAUGUUAUAAUAUUAUUUUUGUUUUGUUUAUAUAGAUUAAGAGGAAAAUUAAAUUAUUAAGUUUAAUAGGAAAACUUGAGGAAUAAUGGUUAAAUUAGUAAAUAAGAUUAAUUAAAUAUAAUGAAUGUAUUUAUAAUAAAUUAAUAUAUUGAUAAGGAAUUCGGCAAAAUUGGAAUUUUCAACUGUUUAACAAAAACAUUGUUUUUUGAAUUGAAUAUAAGAUAAUGCCUGCCCACUGAGGAUUUAAAGGGCUGCAGUAUAUUGACUGUGCAAAGGUAGCAUAGUAAAUAGUUUCUUAAUUGGGAGCUAGAAUGAAUGGCUUUAUGAAAAAUUUUCUGUCUUAUAGGUAGUAUUAGAAUUUAAGGUUUGAGUAAAAAUGCUUGAAUGUUUUAGUGGGACGAGAAGACCCUAUAGAAUUUAAUUUUAUUAAUGAGGUAUGAAUGAGUUGUGAUGUUGAGUAUAUUAAUUAAAUAAAAAUUAAUUGGGGUGAUUAUAAAAUAAUAAACUUUUAUUUUUUUUUUGGUUAAUAAUGGGUAUGAGAUUGAUCCAUGGUUGAGUGAUUGUAAGAUAAAUUACCUUAGGGAUAACAGCGUUAUUUGUUCGGAUAGUUCAAAUUGAUGAAUAAGAUUGCGACCUCGAUGUUGAAUUAGAAUGUAUUUUGGUGUAGAGGCUAAAAUGAUUUAGUCUGUUCGACUUUAAUAUUUUACAUGAUUUGAGUUCAAACCGGUGUGAGCCAGGUUGGUUUCUAUCUACUUAAUAUUAAAUAUUUUAGUACGAAAGGACCAAAUAUU